GCACGGGUGCGUAACGCGUAUACAAUCUGCCUUAUACAGAGGGAUAGCCUUUAGAAAUGAAGAUUAAUACCUCAUGGUCUAUUAAUAUAGCAUUAUAUAAAUAGUAAAGCUUCGGCGGUAUAAGAUGAGUAUGCGUCCUAUUAGUUAGUUGGUAAGGUAACGGCUUACCAAGACAACGAUAGGUAGGGGCCCUGAGAGGGGGAUCCCCCACACUGGUACUGAGACACGGACCAGACUCCUACGGGAGGCAGCAGUGAGGAAUAUUGGACAAUGGAGGUAACUCUGAUCCAGCCAUGCCGCGUGCAGGAAGACGGCCCUAUGGGUUGUAAACUGCUUUUAUAUAGGAAGAAACCUUUUCACGUGUGAGAAGCUGACGGUACUAUAAUAAUA
rnacentral:rRNA from 1 species